UGGAUAGAUUAUUGUAUUCGAUUGUAUUCACGGCGUGAAACAGGGGAUUACACAGUUUUUAAACUAAAAGUGAAUCAAUUAACAUAAUAGACUCCU
rnacentral:pre_miRNA from 1 species